rnacentral:rRNA from 1 species
CAGGCCUAACACAUGCAAGUCGAACGGUCUCUUCGGAGGCAGUGGCGGACGGGUGAGUAACGCUGGGGGAACGUGCCCUUUGGUACGGAACAACUGAGGGAAACUUCAGCUAAUACCGUAUGUGCCCUUCGGGGGAAAGAUUUAUCGCCAUUGGAGCGGCCCGCGUUGGAUUAGGUAGUUGGUGAGGUAAAGGCUCACCAAGCCUACGAUCCAUAGCUGGUCUGAGAGGAUGAUCAGCCACACUGGGACUGAGACACGGCCCAGACUCCUACGGGAGGCAGCAGUAGGGAAUCUUGCGCAAUGGGCGAAAGCCUGACGCAGCCAUGCCGCGUGAAUGAUGAAGGUCUUAGGAUUGUAAAAUUCUUUCAGCCGGGGACGAUAACGACGGUACCCGGAGAAGAAGCCCCGGCUAACUUCGUGCCAGCAGCCGCGGUAAU